UAGAAAUUUUGGGGCUUCUGAUCAUAA
rnacentral:sRNA from 1 species